GAUGAACGCUGGCGGCGUGCCUAAUACAUGCAAGUUGAGCGAACGGACGAGAAGCUUGCUUCUCUGAUGUUAGCGGCGGACGGGUGAGUAACACGUGGAUAACCUACCUAUAAGACUGGGAUAACUUCGGGAAACCGUAGCUAAUACCGGAUAAUAUUUUGAACCGCAUGGUUCAAAAGUGAAAGACGGUCUUGCUGUCACUUAUAGAUGGAUCCGCGCUGCAUUAGCUAGUUGGUAAGGUAACGGCUUACCAAGGCAACGAUGCAUAGCCGACCUGAGAGGGUGAUCGGCCACACUGGAACUGAGACACGGUCCAGACUCCUACGGGAGGCAGCAGUAGGGAAUCUUCCGCAAUGGGCGAAAGCCUGACGGAGCAACGCCGCGUGAGUGAUGAAGGUCUUCGGAUCGUAAAACUCUGUUAUUAGGGAAGAACAUAUGUGUAAGUAACUGUGCACAUCUUGACGGUACCUAAUCAGAAAGCCACGGCUAACUACGUGC
rnacentral:rRNA from 1 species